GCCUGGGUGGCUUAGUCGGUUAAGCGUCCGACUUCAGCUCAGGUCAUGAUCUCACAGUUUGUGGGUUCGAGCCCCGCGUCGGGCU
rnacentral:tRNA from 1 species